AUUAUAAUCUUGCAUAAUCAAAAUUAAUUUAUCGCCGAAGUUGUAUUUAUAACUCCGAUGCAUUACGCUCUACUUGCUGCGUGAUUAAAUUUUAUUAUAAAGAAAGUUAUAAGUUUUCUUAUAAACCACUGCGAGUAAAAUAUCAUUUAAUGAACAAGUUACACAGUUGCCUGUUUUGCAAUAAAUAGCGUUUAUUAUGGCACAACAGCGCAAGAAAUUCUCAAGAUACUUUACUUCGUAUAAGUAUAGCCCAACAUUCAUUCAGAAAAACCAGCCGUGGCGCCACGAUGUGCCGCAAAUAGCAAAGGCCGUUAUUUAAUGACAUUAAACAAUUUUACGCCUAAAUAUUACUUGAAUAUUUAUUUCAUAUCGCUUUACGAGCUUCGCACACAAACAUCACAACCCGGCCUCUAUAUAUUUAUUAAGUUUCAGGCGCCUUGUCGCCGUGGUAUACGUGAGAUAGCGUGUAAGCAAAUCGCAUCUUGGCAAUAAUAAAUGACAAGCUCGUUAGCGUCCGAACGCCUUGAAGCAUUACGAUGAAUUAAUAUCCGUAAACAGAAUCAGAAAGGAGAAUCACAUCCUGAUACGAAGAUGAUUGAAACAGACUCCCCAGAGCUAACAAUUGACGUACAUAAACAUAAGCAGCAUAAGAGCGAAAUAGCGAAAGUUUGAAGAUCCAGAAUCUCAACGAUAAAAAUUAAGUCAAUUAUAUUGAAGUAUACGGAAUACUAGAAGAUGCGGAAUACUGGAAUAUUAGAAUAUUAGGAAAUGCGGGAUACUUAUUUAUUAUGGUAUCACAUUCCAUUGGGACACAGGAGAACGUCUUCUCCGCGCCUCUUCCUCGUCCAGUGGCGAAUCUUCCUGAUCUUCC